AAAAAUACUUUAACUACUGGUACUGAAGUCUGUAAUGUGAACCAACUGAAGCUGCAAAGGGGGAAGAAGGUUGAAACAAUCAUGCAUUACUGGAGUUUUUAAAUUGUAUUACUGGAUUCAGGAAAAUGAAUGUGUUCCCUGAAAUUAAUGAGAUUUGUGUUUUAUGUUUGUAACCAGCAGAGGUAGCUGACGGUGAUGAAAGACUGGACAGCAUUUCCCUACCACCAACAGAUGGAGGCAGAGAGAUGUUUCAGAUGAGGAAAUUGAACCCGGGAUGGUAGAACCACCUCAUGGAACUGAAAAGAAUUUCCAGGAAUCUGAGAAAGAAGGAACAUUAGUGAUCAUCUAGUCCCCUCCCUCCUUUUUAUCCAGUCCUUUUAUUUUACAGGUAAAAAAGCCUGAGGCCCAGAAACCCUAAAUGACUCUCUCAAGGUCUCACAGCUGGUUGGUGGCCUGGCCGGAGCCCGGCCUCUCGACUUCCAGCCCUUCUACCGCAUAGCUUUCUCAUACCUAAGCCAAAGCCAGCUUUUCUCUGCAUGUUUCCUAAAGAUCCUAAGAGUCGAUGGAUGUACUAAUCCCUUUAGGAUUCCAUUCCACUGUCUGUCUUCACAAUUAGAAUGUCUGUCGUAAGCCUACCUGAAGUCCUCUGCAGUUGAAACUCACUGCAGCUCUUUCUCAGUUCUUGCCCGAGGUCGUGAGGUCCUGACGGACACAGUAGGAGUAGCCAGGUCUCUCCACUAGACUCUUGGCGUUUGAUGCAGAUUACUGCACAGCAUGAUAAAUCAUACCGUUUAUCACUUAGAAAAGGGGAAAAGAAGUCGCAGAUUGGUGCUCAAAUGUCACAGUAUCGGAAUUACAUCAUCUUGGUUAGAGUAGCGUGUCUGGAUCGCCUCUAAAGUAAAAGCCCCGGUCUGGGCAGCGUCUCUGCAAAGAGCACCACUGCUGGCCCUCCCUCCUCACCUCUGCCGCAGGAGGCCGCCGCAGAGGCGAAGUGCACCUCUCCUGCACCGGUGGCUUGACCCUUGCAUUUGAGACUCACUGGUCAGACCUUCCUUCUCUGGGUGAUCUCAGCUGCCGACGGUGGGUCCUUUUGAAAGAUGUAGCAACACCUUUUUUAUUACCUGUUUUACGGUCUUUUUCCUCCUUCCAAAUCCGUGUGUGUUGGGGAGGGGCGGGGAGAGGGGGGUAACCCUUCAGCGCGUCUACGAACGGGGACUGAGCAGGUCCGGGGUGCGGUCAGCCAGGCCGCCGAUGUUUGAUUCAGUCGCUACACUUCAGCAACCUUCUGCGGGUCUAGUUUUAACAAGAAUAAGAGCGGGUUUUCUUCAUUCCUUUUCCCUCACAACCCUGUCAGUAAGCGUGUUGGAGCAGCUCCCAGGAAUCAGCGUGGUCAGGUUCUGGAAACCAAUACCCGCCCUCAGGGAGCCCCGGGGCCUGCGUGGGGCAGGCAGCGUGAGCAGCGCGCUCUGAUGGCCCGAGACCCGCCCGCGACUGGGGGACACGCUCUGCUGGGGAGGGAAAAAAAAGUACAGAGAAAGUAAAAUUGAAACAGUGCUUUCUAAAAUUUACAAAGGAGGCUUCUUCAUUUGAAAGAGGGUAGCGCAGAGCUCACCUGGGCCUAGCAAUUUUUGUCAUAAAUUGGCCAUCUUUGACAUACUUCUGAACAGUUAAUGAAAAGUAAAGGAAGAAAAUAUAAAUUAAUUUUACCACUCAGACAACCAUUAUUGGGUAUUUUUCCCCAGACUUUUCUAUUUUAUUUACACAAUGGAGACCCAAAUAUGUAAAAUUUUUGUUUCCUGAGGGUUUUUUUUUCCUUUUUUUCAACCUCACAAGCAUUUUCCACUUUUCACAAAUCUUCAUACACAUCAUUUUAAUAGCUGCAUCAUGUUCUCUCUUACAGGUAAACUGUAUUUUAUUUAGCCAUAUUCUAUUCCUGGACAGUAUGUGGACAUACUCCAAUAGUAACACACAGUCAUGGACUUUCCUGUAAAAAUAAUCAGUACAAAUUUCCAGUGGCUAACAGUGCUCACAACUAAAGCCUUGGCUGAAAAAUUAGUGACUUAAAUGUGAAACAGAUACUUCAUCAGCGAGGGUCUCCACCGAGCCAGCCUCCUUGCCUCUAGCCCCGUCCUAGAAGGUGUACAAGUCUCCUUUAGAGAAGCGGCCCCCCUUCAUUGUCUUGUCUCUGUUGUAGGUCAUAUAUUUGACACCAGGAGAGAAAACACAGAAGACACAGAGCCAGAUUUCACUGCCUAGACUUUCCUUUUAGUGACACUGUUCAUUAGCACAUGUAACUCCUUCCGUUGAAUUCCCUCAGAGAUCCACGUAGCAUUUCAGGUUCCUGCAAAGUGUGGGCGUUCUGUGAAGUUUUCCCAUCACAUUUGAAUAGUUUUCGUAUACUUUCUUUGUCGUAUGUGAUGAUCAAGCCUCCAAUUUGGUGUUAAGAUUUUUAGAAAUCAUUUUGAGAGUUGACUCGUUUGUUACCUUUUAAAAGUCCAGCGUAUGACCAGUGAGUUCAUUGUUCACUAAAAAGAAGCAGUUCUCUCUCGUUUUUUUUUUUCAUAAGCUCAAUGUGAAUAUAUAGAGUUUUGAAGCAUACUUAUUUUAAUGUGCACGCCUUAGAUGCAGAAUAAAGGAGAACAGCUCUUUCCAGUACUGAGGGAGCAGUUGGGAAGGCCAACGUUAAUUAGGCCUUCAGCGGCUUAGAAGAUGAAAACGCUGUUUUGGGAGACAGGAUAGCUCUGACCUAUUAGAUGAAAUCAUUUGUAACAUUGGUUCCUCUAAAGAGAGCCAUGUGUAGCUGAGUAAGUGCAAAUGAUCUAUGAACUCUUAGGGAAGAAAGACCUUUCACAAAGACGUGUCAACACAGUGACAAAAUGACUAAUUAAAAGGCGAGAAACUCAAACCAGUGACCCACACGACACCUAACAACUGUUUUCACAGAGGAUUUUAAACUGCGGGGUCCAGGCUUUUGGCACCGUGUGGCCACCAGCCACAAAUGGACUUAAUAUUAUAUAUUUCAUUUGGCUCCUAGUACACGCGCCCUCCACUUCGUAUGAAACCAACAUACGAAAAUAAGGGUUUAUACUAAAGAGAUAGCUUGCCAUGUGGGUAUUUGUUUUAUAGAAAUAUUUACCUCCAGAUUCCCUUCUCCAAAAAGAUGGUGAAUUUAAAAAUACCGUUUUACUUAGAAACAUUGCAUGUAGACCUCAUUCACUGUAUAAAGCAAAUUACCAUAAAAUCUUUGGCACUUGACCCAAAGGCCAAAAAUCAGCCGGAAAGAAACUUGGGCUGUCGACAUGCCGAGCCGGAGGGGGAAAGAAUUGUUGCUAUUUCCCUAGCACCUGUUUUAUGAGGUCCUAGAGCAUUAGAGCUCAGAGUUCUUGUAGAGGCACCCUGUCCAAGGGACUCAUGCCGUAGCACACCGAACCGCCCCACCUGAGCUCGGAGGGGAGCUCGGGGGCGAUGCAGGGGUCCACCGAAGGCCAGCUCAUCAGCCGAAGAUGAGAGAUGGGAGGCAUCCCUGAAAUGUGACAAAGCUGGUCCCAGGCGUGGCUUAUAGAAUCAGUCUCACUGCUAGAGAGCUCCAUCUCAUAUCCGUGUGUCUUUUGCCUUAUUUCUGAAGUUACAAGGAAGGUUCAGAGAAAUGGUUUCCGUCACAUCCUAUAGUUACUAGCGUUUUACAUUUCUAGGCCUGUUAGGAAUCCCUUCCCUGAAACUGGCCCCAUUGGUCAGCAAGUGGCCCCGAUGAAGUCCUACAUCCAGGGCUUUUGUUUUUCUGCAACGUAUGUUUUAAAAUUUGUCUUCUGCCCCGCAGCAGGAAAUAUUUCUCAAGGGAAUUGAAAAGAUUAAUUAGUGACCUUUCAACUCUAUUACAGUGAGAUGAGUAUGUUGCCAAUAAAGGUAGAAACAUUUACCUUACCACUGUGGGAUCUGUUAAAUAUGCAUCACGAACCUUCGAAAGCACUUCCUUCCAAGACUGGGUGACAGCUUGGAUUUUUCAAUACUUGAGGAGGGGUGGGGAUUGCUCAACUCACAAGUACGUGCAAUGCAUCCACAAAUUGGAAAUACAUAUCACAAAACUGCAGCAGUAAAAUCAUAUUUUGUACAUUAAAAUUGUAUUUGUGUUUACUUACUGUGACUACUGUUCAGACUUUAUUCAGAAAUCCUUUUUAUAGGCUUUCUUAGUAAAAAAAAAUAUAUAUAUUCCAUAUCUAUGGAUGAUGUCUCAAUCUUCUGUAUAUAUGUUUUAUUAAUAUGUAAAUAUUUAGAUUUUUUAAAAUUACUAUGUUCUUUAAAAAGAAUUUCAACACAAGGCUAGAUGUGAAAUGGUGUAUAACAUUGUGUUGUGAUAUCAAUUCCCAAGAUGCUCUUUAUGUCCGUUCCAGAAGAAUACAAUAAAUUACUUUAAUUGAA